UACGAAGGGGGGCUAGCGUUGCUCGGAAUUACUGGGCGUAAAGGGCGCGUAGGCGGACAGUUUAGUCAGAGGUGAAAGCCCAGGGCUCAACCUUGGAAUUGCCUUUGAUACUGGCUGUCUUGAGUUCGGGAGAGGUGAGUGGAAUGCCGAGUGUAGAGGUGAAAUUCGUAGAUAUUCGGCGGAACACCAGUGGCGAAGGCGACUCACUGGCCCGAUACUGACGCUGAGGCGCGAAAGCGUGGGGAGCAAACAGGG
rnacentral:rRNA from 1 species